UUGCUUUGAAAAACACAUUUACUAACACUGGAAUGAUACAAAAAAGAUUCAUAUGGCCCCUGUGCAAGGAUGACAUGAGAAUUUGCAAAGCAUUCCAUAUUAAG